rnacentral:misc_RNA from 1 species
AACGCACCUUGCGCUCGCUGGUAUUCCGGCGAGCAUGUCUGUUUGAGUGUCAUGAACUCUUCAACUGCCUGUUACUAGUUGACAGUGCAUGCUUGGAUUUUGAGCGUUGCAGUCUACUGCUCGCUCGUAAUAUAUUAGCAUAUCUAAUUCGAACUCGGAUUGACUUGAUGUAAUAGACUAUUCAUCGAGGACGAGCUUGUAGUGAUAGCUUCUAAUCACCCUAGUCACCUAUUUAGACCUCAGAUCAGGCAGGAUUACCCGCUGAACUUAA